GAAAGUUGUAAUGGGACCCAACAGCCAGUACUUUAUCAAGCCCCUCAGCGAAUUCGGAGGCAUGGAUGAACAUAUCAGAACAAAUCACCCUCGGGAAACUGAGAAGAGUGCAGACUACCUACUAGGAAACGUGAAACAAAGCACACGCUAUAGGAUGCUCUCCAGAAUUGCAAAGAAAACUCCAGGAUUGCGUUUAGAUUAGCUGUGUACUUUUCUCCAGCAUUCUGUAACGUCAAAAAUGCCAGUCAAGAUGGCCAUGACGGUUUGUUUUCAUAUUUCUCAUACAACAGACUAUGUGGAACAUUUGGGGGUAUGUGGAUAAGUUUAUUCAAAAGGGAAGGAAAACAUGAGAUGCUCACUCUGGGUGAUUCUCAGCAGACAGCUUUCUUGAUAUUUCUAUCUAUUCAUGAUGGGAUUAUUUUAAUGUGCGACGACAGGCUGGCUUUGAACGAAUUAUUUGGAUAUUUUAUCCUGACUUAGGGUUAUAGAUAACUUUGCAUAAAAUCUUUAACAAGUUACUGGAAGUUCUGAGAUGAUGCCAUCUUGGGAUGGGGCAAACAGUAUCUUCUUCAGAAGCAUGUUUAUGGUAGGUUGGUGAUGUUUGUGGUAGGUUGACGUUUGUAGUAGGGUGAUAAAGGCAUCCAAUUUUAUUUAUUUGGUAGUGAUUAAUCCUACUCUCAAUUGAAAUGACAAUCAAAACAUUUUUCAAUGAUCUUUUUAACAAUUAGUUACUGAAAUGGGGAAAGUUCAAGAGAGUAUGUACAUUUCCUUCUAUAAAGGAAAAAUUUUAAAUGAUAGAAUGUUUUAAAGACACACUCGUAAUGCACAUUCAGAACAAUGUGGUUGUGUCAGCAUAUAAAAGAAAAUUUUCAUCCCAAUUACUGCUUUUAUUGCACUAUUUCCAUAAGAGACGGGUAAAGUAUAACAAAUUAUGAUUAUGGAACAUUUAAGAGAUCUAAAUAAUCAUACUGAUGAUGUUUGUAUAAAUACAAGUCUUAGACUGUAAAAAAGCCUUUCCAGGUCAAUGAAUGUGUAUUCUCUGACUAACACAACUUGUACAAAGUGAAUAUCUUUCAUGUUCCACGAAAUAAGAGACAUGGCCUUUGGCCUUGUGAGACCUUUGACAGAAUUACUCUAAAAAUUAUUUGACAAGCUUUAGCCUCCUCAGGAGUGCACUGACUUAGCUUAGUAAUGCUAACACUGGCCUCUCUGUCUUCAGGACUGGGCCAUUUUGAAGAUGUAGUAGCCAUUCCUCAAACCAUUUCUCUCAACUAUGCAAUGUUCUUAUGUAUGGUCCUGGCUAUAUAGCGAUGCUAAAAGCAACUAUCUUUAAAUAUAAUUUAGAUAUAACAUAGUGUGAUUUUUCUCCUGGCAUGAUAGACUGAAUUAAAUAGUAUGUCAUCCAAGAGUUAAAUGCCAACACCUGAUUAAGGAAUGUUGUGUAUUGAUAGAUGUAGACGUCUCUGCCUUACCCCAAGAAAGUCUGGACCAUCAAUAUAAAGCUUAAGUUUAUUAUGGAAAAAUGUAAUGUGUUUACCAUUUUGUUGUGUUACUUUGAACUGCGUCAUUUAGCACACUAUAUAAUGUAUGUAGCUUUCUUCUAGAGAUACACUGAAAAAAAAAUGAGUGUUCCCAAGAGCAAUGAUUUGAAAACUUUGUAUGUUUUUAUAUCUUGUGAAAAUUAAGCCUUCAGAGAACACAAUUUGUAUUACCAGUCUAAUCUCCUCAGCUUCUGGCCACUGCUUAGAUGUAGUAAAUGGCGUGUCCCCUUCUCACCUCGUGUAUUCCUUACCUGGCUCUAAUGCUCCUGCCUGUUUCUGUGCUAGUCUGUUGAGAUGAACUCAGAUCAUAUUCAACUCACCAGGGACUGCUUCCUUAUUCAAUUUUAAAUUCAUGUGCAUGUGUCUUUUAUUAGUCAUCUUGUUAAUACUACCUGCCCUUCAAAUGGAGGGAUAUUUCUCCAUUCAUUCUUAAUAAAGAUAUAGUUUGCAUUUUUUGAGUGAUAA